AACGUCCGUCGUGAAGAGGGAAACAACCCAGACCGCCAGCUAAGGUCCCAAAGUCAUGGUUAAGUGGGAAACGAUGUGGGAAGGCCCAGACAGCCAGGAUGUUGGCUUAGAAGCAGCCAUCAUUUAAAGAAAGCGUAAUAGCUCACUGGUCGAGUCGGCCUGCGCGGAAGAUGUAACGGGGCUAAACCAUGCACCGAAGCUGCGGCAGCGACGCUGAUGCGUUGUUGGGUAGGGGAGCGUUCUGUAAGCCUGCGAAGGUGUGCUGUGAGGCAUGCUGGAGGUAUCAGAAGUGCGAAUGCUGACAUAAGUAACGAUAAAGCGGGUGAAAAGCCCGCUCGCCGGAAGACCAAGGGUUCCUGUCCAACGUUAAUCGGGGCAGGGUGAGUCGACCCCUAAGGCGAGGCCGAAAGGCGUAGUCGAUGGGAAACAGGUUAAUAUUCCUGUACUUGGUGUUACUGCGAAGGGGGGACGGAGAAGGCUAUGUUGGCCGGGCGACGGUUGUCCCGGUUUAAGCGUGUAGGCUGGUUUUCCAGGCAAAUCCGGAAAAUCAAGGCUGAGGCGUGAUGACGAGGCACUACGGUGCUGAAGCAACAAAUGCCCUGCUUCCAGGAAAAGCCUCUAAGCAUCAGGUAACAUCAAAUCGUACCCCAAACCGACACAGGUGGUCAGGUAGAGAAUACCAAGGCGCUUGAGAGAACUCGGGUGAAGGAACUAGGCAAAAUGGUGCCGUAACUUCGGGAGAAGGCACGCUGAUAUGUAGGUGAAGUCCCU
rnacentral:rRNA from 1 species